AACGAACGCUGGCGGCCAGGCCUAACACAUGCAAGUCGAACGCUCGUAGCAAUACGGGAGUGGCAGACGGGUGCGUAACGCGUGGGAACAUACCCUUUGGUUCGGAAUAACUCAGGGAAACUUGAGCUAAUACCGGAUACGCCCGAGAGGGGAAAGAUUUAUUGCCGAAGGAUUGGCCCGCGUCUGAUUAGCUAGUUGGUGAGGUAACGGCUCACCAAGGCGACGAUCAGUAGCUGGUCUGAGAGGAUGAUCAGCCACACUGGGACUGAGACACGGCCCAGACUCCUACGGGAGGCAGCAGUGGGGAAUAUUGGACAAUGGGCGCAAGCCUGAUCCAGCCAUGCCGCGUGAGUGAUGA
rnacentral:rRNA from 1 species